ensembl:lncRNA
AGUGAUUCUCAGGAUGGGCAGCUUGCUGAGAGAGAUGGCUAUUGAGAAGGCACUUGUUUUUGCCAGACUUUGGCAGCUCUGAAUGCUGCAGAAAAGGAUGCUGAGCAGCAGGAGUGACAGGCAGCAGUGUGCUGCUGGGCACAGAUAUGAGAAGCUGAUCUGAUCUGAGCAUCAGUCACUAACGGCUGAGGUCUGGGAGCAGUCAGUGUCAUGCUGUGGUGUUUGGGCAGCACGCAGUGAGGCGGAGGAGAUACCAUCACCUGAUGCUGCACCUGGAGAGACACUGGGCCAUGCCAUGAGAACGUGGUGCUGGCACUGCCUGAUGCUGUAUGUGGUGUCACCCACCAUGCCCUGGAAGAAUGUAGGUCUUAUUCAACUCUUUUUGGCAGAAGAAAGAGGAAGAUGUGUCAGGCUGAAGGUGCUCCGGGAUAAGGACUGUGAUGUUCCUGCGACCUGGAGAAUUACAGAGGAAUUUCUCCAUGGCCCAGAAGGCACUGACCUCAUUCCUCCACCCUCCCACACCCAGCAGUUUACAGGUUCAUUGGGAAAGAUUAAGGUUGCUGGCAGAGCCCUGGGCAGCAUGGGAAGAGACAUUAUAGUCAAGCAUGGAUUAGAGCUGUCAACAUGAGGUGCUGCUCUUCAGCUGGAUGCUCGCUGUGGCUCCAGAGAUGGGCACAGCUGCUACAUUGGGCUGUGGUGCAGAGCUGGUUUGCUGACACCAGCCUCCUGAGCUACAGGGGCCACCCAUGCCCAGGUCCCAGCAGGGAUGCUGGGGUGCCCUGUGGUGGCUGCUGUCCCCAGGCAGUGUCCUGCAGCACCCUGGCUAGCUGGGGACGGGGCGAGGGUGAUCACAGGAAGCAUUGUACUACUGAGCUCAUUUCCACCAGGACCAAGGGUUCAUUAGGAGUAAAAAUAACCCUGGAAAAAACAGAGCCAAAACCCUCUCAUUGACUGCCUCAGUUGUUGGGGCUGAAUUUGGCCAGCCAGGGAUUUGCCCCUCCCUGUGCAGCCCUUGCUUCUUCAGUGCCCACAAUUGUAAUGAUACUACCAGGACCAGAGGGACCACCCUUGACACAUCGGAAUGUUUGUAUUGCCCUGCUUAUGUCUGCUUCUUAAGGAACAGCCUUUGCCAUUUCUAAAUCACAGACAUUGUGUCAAUCUUCUGAAAAAGAUGGGAUCUUACACAGAAGAACAAGACAAGGGCUUCUGAACUAAAUCUAGCUCUGCCUUCGUGCUGUUCCUCUUGAGCUCUCUUGGACAUUUCUUGCAGUCUUGCUGUUUGAAUAAGGAACUCUUCCAUCUCAUUUGCAAAUAUGCUUUGUGCAGUAAAUAGAGCUCUAGGAUCAGCUGAUUUUUCAGUUUCGUUGGUGAACAAACAAAAAUCAGAGGAAAACAAGUUAGCUCAGACUAAAGAGAGCGUUUUUCCCAAAGUUGCAUUGCAGAACAGCAACAGCAAAGAGGAUGAACUAGACCCAAAACAGAGACUUAUUUAGCUCAUUUGGAGAGCAUUCAUUCUUCUUUUUCACCAUUUUUCUCAAGAGCAAAACAACAACAAGAAAAACAAUAUCAAGUUUCAAAAUAAAAAAAAUGAUGGUUCUAAAAGAUUGGGCA